UCAUCAGUGAGGUUGAUCCUUACCUGUUCCUCCUUAUGGAGAAACAAACAUGAUGAAUGGGGGAGGCUGAGAGUGAUUAUACUGAUCCCCUGCACCGCCCUGACUGACAACUGGGGUGUGUGUCAUUCUGAU